rnacentral:rRNA from 1 species
GUGGGGAAUAUUGGACAAUGGGCGCAAGCCUGAUCCAGCAAUGCCGCGUGCAGGAAGAAGGCCUUCGGGUUGUAAACUGCUUUUGUACGGAACGAAACGGUCCGGGUUAAUACCCUGGGCUAAUGACGGUACCGUAAGAAUAAGCACCGGCUAACUACGUGCCAGCAGCCGCGGUAAUACGUAGGGUGCAAGCGUUAAUCGGAAUUACUGGGCGUAAAGCGUGCGCAGGCGGUUUUGUAAGACAGGCGUGAAAUCCCCGGGCUCAACCUGGGAAUUGCGCUUGUGACUGCAAGGCUGGAGUGCGGCAGAGGGGGAUGGAAUUCCGCGUGUAGCAGUGAAAUGCGUAGAUAUGUGGAGGAACACCGAUGGCGAAGGCAAUCCCCUGGGCCUGCACUGACGCUCAUGCACGAAAGCGUGGGGAGCAAACAGGAUUAGAUACCCCUGUAGUCC